AGUCAAGCUUCACCAGCACAUGUGCAGCGUCCUCCUUAACUAGUCAGGGAAACACAGCAAACACAAAUCGCAAGCUAACUCAUCUGCGGUCACUUCCACAGAGAACCACAGUUUUUGCAUUCAGUGUCUCUGGGAAAGGAACAAAAUGGCGUCUGGCAGGAGAUAAAGCUGGUGAGAAAGAGACCUAAUGAACUUGGUGGAGGCGCCGGAGACCAAGACCACACCCAUCAUGUCUCCUGCAAGUUUCUCAGUGGAAAAAUGAACCUUCUCCACCAGCAGGGUAUUUCACUUGUCCAUGAAGAGGAACCCUGUGGCAGCCUGGGCUCUGAGCCCUGGGCAGAGAGUCAAGAGACCAGAGCCCCGGAUCCAGCAGUGGCAAAGCCGCAGGCCCAGACAACCCCACUGCCUCAGUCUCGGUUUUCUCAUCCAUCAAAUACCCUGCAGCACUGGCUCCCUGGGUGCUUCCAAUUUCUCCUCGACUUUCUUGUGGAUGACUCAUAACCUGAUGUUUUAUAGGGGCCAGAGCAUUUGAAACACAUCAAAUAUAGGGUAAAUGCAAUUCAGACAGUUAAGCCACAUAGAACACCAAUUACAGACGUACAGAGAUUCAUUCCUUCACUCCAGGGUUUGUGUGUUGCUCUGGAAGUCAGGCUAAAUCUCCCCCCUGUUCCGAAGCACAGUUAUUAAGUGGACAUCGGUGAUGCAGCCUGCGCCUGACAUGGUCACUGCGAGAUGGAUCACCUGGGACCUCGAGGUCUCCACCCCCAUCCGCAAGUGCAGCCCGGGCGCAGGCUCCUUCAGAGCAGCCGUUUUGCCAUCUCAGUAUUAAAGGAAGAAGCAAAAUACAUCAGAGCUCCUAGGGAAGGAGGUAUUUGUGGCUUCUUUUUUUUUUCUUUCCCUGAAAAAGUUUUUAAAAAGUUAUUUAUCAAAUAUUUCAAUUGUACAAGAAGAUACAGAUAAAAAUAUAAAACAGUACACCUUUACCUUACCCAGGUUUUGUUUUUUUUUUUUCCUUACCCAGGUUUUAAGAUCAUUAACAUUUGACCACAUGUACUUAGAUUAAAAAACCACAAGAAGGAAGGAAGGAAGGAAAAAAACAUUUUAGUUGGAAUCAAAAUGCCUCCCUAAUCUCAACUGAGGACGUACUGCCUCUCCCCCAAGGUAAUAAUUUUUUUAUUCGUGUGCCUUUUUGCUGCUCAUGUUUUUAUACUUUUUCUACAUAUUUAUUCAUAAGUAUAUAUAAGUGUGUGUUUUAAUAUUUUACGUAAAGGCUAUGUCACUGAAAGUGACAUUUUGCAACUUGCACUUUUAACAGUACAUUUUAGAUGAAUCCAUGCUGAACUAGGUGGAUGCUUAUUCAUUUUAACUGAAUGUACUAUUUCCUUGUACGAUGUUGAAACCAUAAUUAUCAAAAAAAAAAAAGAAACCAUAAUUAUCUGUUCCAGUAUUGGAAGAUAUUAACCCUUCUAAUCGAGUCACAUGACAAGCAGUGGGGCAGGGGACCUGUACCUAUCUGAUUGGCAAAUAAGGGGAAAUUGAUUCCUUGAAGGUUGUGAGCACCUCCUACAUUAGCAGAGGUUGCGGAAUUGUUUUCCUAAGUGGCUCUGCACAUUGACACCCCAUUAGUAAUAUGUGAGUUCUUGCUGCUCAACAUGCUUGGUCACAUUUGGUAUUACCAAACUUGGAUUUUAG
rnacentral:lncRNA from 1 species